rnacentral:rRNA from 1 species
CCCUUAGAGUUUGAUCCUGGCUCAGAAUGAACGUUGGCGGCGUGGAUUAGGCAUGCAAGUCGAACGCGAACGGGGGCAACUCCUAGUAGCGUGGCGAAAGGGGCGGGAAUACGUAGGCAACCUGCCCUCCGGACCGGGAUAGUCGGGCGAAAGCCCGGGCAAUACUGGACGACAUCGCGUGGGGACAUCCUCAUGCGAUCAAACGGAGCAAUCCGCCGGAGGAGGGGCUUACGCGCUAUCAGCUAGUCGGUGAGGUCAAGGCUCACCAAGGCGACGACGACUAGGGGGUGUGAGAGCACGACCCCCGCCACUGGCACUGAGACACUGGCCAGACUCCUACGGGAGGCUGCAGUCGAGAGUCUUCGGCAAUGGGCGCAAGCCUGACCGAGCGACGCCGCGUGGAGGAUGAAGGCCUUCGGGUUGUAAACUCCUGUUGGGGGGGAGGAAAUCAUGACCGAUCCCCUGAGGAAGCACGGGCUAAGUUCGUGCCAGCAGCCGCGGUAAGACGAACCGUGCGAACGUUAUUCGGAAUCAUUGGGCUUAAAGCGCGCGUAGGCGGCGGCGUAAGUGGGGGGUGAAAUCCUAUCGGCUCAACCGUGGAAUCGCCUCUCAAACUGCGUUGCUUGAGGGAGACAGGGGCACGCGGAACUUCCAGUGGAGCGGUGAAAUGUGUUGAGAUUGGAAGGAACGCCAGUGGCGAAAGCGGCGUGCUGGAUCUUUUCUGACGCUGAGGCGCGAAAGCUAGGGGAGCAAACGGGAUUAGAUACCCCGGUAGUCCUAGCCGUAAACGAUGGGUACUGGGUAGGAAGCGGUCCGAUGCCGCCUCCUGCCGAAGCGAAAGUGUUUAGUACCCCGCCUGGGGAGUAUGGCCGCAAGGCUGAAACUCAAAGGAAUUGACGGGGGCUCACACCAGCGGUGGAGCAUGUGGCUUAAUUCGAGGCUACGCGAAGAACCUUAUCCUAGGUUUGACAUGCACGGAUUAGCCUCCUGAAAGGGAGGUGACGCGGCUUGCCGUGGAACGUGCACAGGUGCUGCAUGGCUGUCGUCAGCUCGUGUUGUGAGAUGUCGGGUUAAGUCCCUUAACGAGCGAAACCCUUGUCCUUAGUUACCAGCGGGUCAUGCCGGGAACUCUAAGGAGACUGCCGGUGUCAAGCCGGAGGAAGGUGGGGAUGACGUCAAGUCCUCAUGGCCUUUAUGCCUAGGGCUGCACACGUGCUACAAUGGGGCGGACAAAGGGACGCAAGACCGCGAGGUGGAGCAAAUCCCAAAAACCGCCCCCCAGUUCAGAUUGCAGGCUGCAACCCGCCUGCAUGAAGCCGGAAUCGCUAGUAAUCGCAGGUCAGCCAUACUGCGGUGAAUGUGUUCCUGAGCCUUGUACACACCGCCCGUCAAGCCACGAAAGCGGGGGGCAUCCGAAGUCGCUGUGCUAACCGUAAGGGGGCAGGCGCCGAAGAUGAAACCCGUGAUUGGGACUAAGUCGUAACAAGGUAACCAAGGG